GAAGAAUCCAGAGAUGGAUUUGUGCCUUCGGGAACUGUGAGACAGGUGCUGCAUGGCUGUCGUCAGCUCGUGUUGUGAAAUGUUGGGUUAAGUCCCGCAACGAGCGCAACCCUUAUCCUUUGUUGCCAGCGAUUAGGUCGGGAACUCAAAGGAGACUGCCAGUGAUAAACUGGAGGAAGGUGGGGAUGACGUCAAGUCAUCAUGGCCCUUACGACCAGGGCUACACACGUGCUACAAUGGCGCAUACAAAGAGAAGCGACCUCGCGAGAGCAAGCGGACCUCAUAAAGUGCGUCGUAGUCCGGAUUGGAGUCUGCAACUCGACUCCAUGAAGUCGGAAUCGCUAGUAAUCGUGGAUCAGAAUGCCACGGUGAAUACGUUCCCGGGCCUUGUACACACCGCCCGUCACACCAUGGGAGUGGGUUGCAAAAGAAGUAGGUAGCUUAACCUUCGGGAGGGCGCUUACCACUUUGUGAUUCAUGACUGGGGUGAAGUCGUAACAAGGUAACCGUAGGGGAACCUGCGGUUGGAUCACCUCCUUA
rnacentral:rRNA from 1 species